UUGGGCUUUUGUUGACUCUUAGUGGACGA
rnacentral:piRNA from 1 species